GACGAACGCUGGCGGCGUGCCUAAUACAUGCAAGUCGAGCGGAAGUUGGAGAGCUUGCUCUUCAACUUUAGCGGCGGACGGGUGAGUAACACGUGGGCAACCUGCCCUGCAGAUCGGGAUAACUCCGGGAAACCGGUGCUAAUACCGAAUAGUUUUCGCCACCUCCUGGUGGCGUACGGAAAGACGGUUUCGGCUGUCACUGCAGGAUGGGCCCGCGGCGCAUUAGCUAGUUGGUGGGGUAACGGCACACCAAGGCAACGAUGCGUAGCCGACCUGAGAGGGUGAGCGGCCACACUGGGGCUGAGACACGGCCCAGACGCCUACGGGCGGCAGCAGUAGGGAAUCUUCCGCAAUGGACGAAAGUCUGAUGGAGCAACGCCGCGUGAGUGACGAAGGUUUUCGGAUCGUAAAACUCUGUUGUGAGGGAAGAACAAGUACCAACUAACUACUGGUACCUUGACGGUACCUCACCAGAAGGCCACGGCUAACUACGUGCCAGCCGCCGCAGUAACAC
rnacentral:rRNA from 1 species